UACAGAGGUCUCAAGCGUUGUUCGGAUUCAUUGGGCGUAAAGGGCGCGUAGGCGGCUUUGCAAGUGGCGGGUGAAAUCCCUCGGCUUAACCGAGGAACUGCCUGCCAGACUGUGAGGCUUGAGACCGGGAGAGGUGAGUGGAAUUCCCAGUGUAGCGGUGAAAUGCGUAGAUAUUGGGAGGAACACCAGUGGCGAAGGCGGCUCACUGGACCGGAACUGACGCUGAGGCGCGAAAGCGUGGGGAGCAAACAGG
rnacentral:rRNA from 1 species